AGAGUUUGAUCCUGGCUCAGAUUGAACGCUAGCGGGAUGCUUUACACAUGCAAGUCGAACGGCAGCACGAGAGAGCUUGCUCUCUUGGUGGCGAGUGGCGGACGGGUGAGUAAUAUAUCGGAACGUGCCCAGUAGCGGGGGAUAACUACUCGAAAGAGUGGCUAAUACCGCAUACGCCCUACGGGGGAAAGGGGGGGAUUCUUUUAGAACCCCUCACUAUUGGAGCGGCCGAUAUCGGAUUAGCUAGUUGGUGGGGUAAAGGCCCACCAAGGCGACGAUCCGUAGCUGGUUUGAGAGGACGACCAGCCACACUGGGACUGAGACACGGCCCAGACUCCUACGGGAGGCAGCAGUGGGGAAUUUUGGACAAUGGGGGAAACCCUGAUCCAGCCAUGCCGCGUGAGUGAUGAAGGCCCUAGGGUUGUAAAGCUCUUUCAACGGUGAAGAUAAUGACGGUAACCG
rnacentral:rRNA from 1 species